CAUAGGUUAAUGAGGCGAACCGGGGGAACUGAAACAUCUAAGUACCCCGAGGAAAAGAAAUCAACCGAGAUUCCCCCAGUAGCGGCGAGCGAACGGGGAGGAGCCCAGAGCCUGAAUCAGUGUGUGUUAGUGGAAGCGUCUGGAAAGGCGCGCGAUACAGGGUGACAGCCCCGUACACAAAAAUGCACAUACUGUGAGCUCGAUGAGUAGGGCGGGACACGUGGUAUCCUGUCUGAAUAUGGGGGG
rnacentral:rRNA from 1 species